rnacentral:rRNA from 1 species
CAGCGUCACGAGUGGCAAUCGUAUUUAUUGGGCCUAAAGCGUCCGUAGCCUGUUUAAUAAGUUUUUUGUGAAAUCGUUGCGCUUAACGUAACGUUGUGCAAAAAAUACUGUCAGACUUGGAACUGGGAAGAGCUAGAGGUAUUCUGGGGGGAGCGGUAAAAUGCUAUAAUCCUCGGAGGACCACCAGUGGCGAAGGCGUCUAGCUAGAACAGAUUCGACGGUGAGGGACGAAAGCCAGGGGAGCAAAACGGAUUAGAGACCCGAGUAGUCC